UAAGAUAACUCGAUAAGCACGCCGCCUGUGUAGUACGAUCGCAAGAUUAAAACACAAAGGAAUAGACGGGGACCCACACAAGCGGUGGAUUGCGGGGUUUAAUUCGAUAAUAAGCGAGUAACCUUACCCAGACUUGACAUCCUAGUCAUACCCUAUAGAGAUAUGGGGGUCGGUUCGGCCGGACUAGUGACAGGCGCUGCAUGGUUGUCGUCAGCUCGUGCCUUGAGGUGUACGGUUAAGUCCGCGAACGAGCGCAACCCUCAUCAUAUGUUGUAUUUUCAUGUGAGACUGCCGGUCAUAAACCGGAGGAAGGUGAGGAUGACGUCAAAUCAGCAUGGCCCUUAUGUCUGGGGCCACACCCACAAUACAAUGGCUAGUACAAACUGAAGCGAAGCAGCGAUGUGGAGCAAAUCGGAGAAAACUAGUCUCAGUUCGGAUCGUAGUCUGCAACUCGACUACGUGAAGCUGGAAUCGCUAGUAAACGUAUAUCAGUCAUGGUACGUUGAAUAUGUUCCUGGGUCUUGUACUCACCGCCCGUCAAGGCAUGGAAGUUGGGAGCACCCAAAGUCUGCGAAAUAAUCGUGGCCAAAGGUGAAUUCAAUAACUGGGCUUAAGUCGUAACAAGGUAGCCGUA
rnacentral:rRNA from 1 species